UCCUUAGAGAGAGAAGAGAAGAAGGGUUGGUGUUGAGGAACCUUCCCAUUUCCCCUUUAACCUUUCUGUUUCCGCGUCAACUCUCUCAAUUUUCCCCAUUUUCUCUCUUUAUUCCUUUUGAUCUGAUUUUGAUCUCGUCCUCAUGGCCACCACCUGAAACAAAAACAUCAAUGCCAGAUUGGUGUUGCUUGGAGAUGUUGGAGCUGGGAAAUCUUGUCUUGUGUUGUGCUUUGUUAUGUUGAAUUUCAUGUAUUUUGGACGAAUUAUAAUUGCUAGUGAACCUUCCCCAUUUGGUUUCAAGAGCUUAAUUUUUUUAUAUAAUGUUUGUAGGAAUCGACUAUAGGUGCUACCUUUUUCUCACAAGGAUUGGCUGUAAAUGACGCCACUGUAAAGUUUGAGAUUUGGGAUACAGCAGAUCAAGAGAGGUACCAUAGCUUGACACCAAUGUACUACGGAGGAGCUACUGCGGCCAUUGUUGUCUAUGAUAUAACAAAUCAGGCAAGUGUGUGCCAAUGAAUUUAUUUCCCAUUAGGAUAUGGAAUCUUCGAAAAGCUCAUUCUUUAAAAAUUUAAGGUGUAAGACCUAUAGAAAAGAGCUUUGUAAUCCUUGAGACUUGAGAAGUUGAGUCUCAGGGAUUAAGCCUCUUACCUCCAAUCUAACUUGGUUAAAAGGAACUAGAUAGGAGAGAUGAAAUACAGAGCAUGCUUCUAUUGGGGGUUACCUUCUCUGUUGACAUCUACAUGUGACAUGAUAGAGCAUGUUACAUAUUGGAUCUUGAUUACCUAUUCAAAGUCUUUUAUGGAGUGUCAAUUCUCACUGUUGCCUUUUUUUGUUUUGCCUUAAAGAGGGGGCCACCGAAUGGGGCGUCGCCAAGUCUAAAGAAAUCCGUAUGCCCUUCAAACGCCUUCCCUUCUAUUGCUGUGCGUACGCGUUACUUACACACUUGCUGUCCCUUUAUCUAUGUAUUUGCACAUAAGAACAUAUGUUUGUGGUUGAUGAUAUUUUUUGAUGCAGCUUAUGGCAGCGUAUUCGAUAUAAUGUGAGAGUUCUUAUUUUUAUAAUUUUAGAUUAAUUUGAGUAUUUUAGGUUUUAAGUUUGGAUUUUUGUGCACUUGCAGGACUAUAACUCCCUAUAUUAGAAAGUAUGGAAACAUCCUGUUACUGGAGCCCACUAAAGCUGGCGAUUUAAUUGCAGUUACUUUCACAAGAAUGCUGAAGGUUGGAUUCUUUUACUCCAUUUUAACUGUUAGUUCAAUUUUGCUGUGUAGAAUUGCUUUUUUUUUUUUUUUUUUUUUCUAAAGCUUUAGAGAUGCAUGCUACUUGAUGGCCGAGGUUUCGAGGAAAUGGGUGAUAAUUUAGACAUGAAGGAUUAUGGUCUGAUUCAAGUUAAAUUUAUGAGUGCAAUUCAAGAAUUUUAAUAGAUAAGUCUUAGUAUUGUUGAUGCUGCAUCGGCUUCAGUUCAUGGAGAAGUGCUGCAUCCAGUGAAAAAAACAGCUGCUCGGAUAGCCAUGCACUUGGCUGGUGACAGGGCACCUGUGAUGCAAAGCUGGAGUUGGCGGUUUGAUUGCAUUGGCAGCGAUGGAGAAGGUUCCUGUUGAGGCCAAUGAUUGACCUCUGAGGAGAUUAAGACAACAAGCGUAAUGGUGUUUGCCAAUCCUUACUUAGAACUAGAUGAAGAAGAGGAAGAGAAGGCCAAAGAAGAGAAAAGUGCUCAGGAUGAAGGAAGUUCGUUUCAGGACUGUUUUAAAUAUCAACUGCCUUUAGAAAUUAUUAUUAUUGAGAUGGCAGGAAAUAUUUGUUACGCCUAUAUUAUUUUGACAAUAAAAAAUUUGUCAUAUAAAAAAAUUUUUAUAAAAAAUUAUUUGUCAUGUUAU